rnacentral:rRNA from 1 species
UACAGAGGCCUCGAGCGUUAGGCGGAAUCACUGGGCUUAAAGCGUGUGUAGGCGGAUGCCUAAGUACCUUGUGAAAUCCCACGGCUUAACCGUGGAACUGCUGGGUAUACUGGGUGUCUUGAGCCACUCAGGGGCUACCGGAACAAAUGGUGGAGCGGUGAAAUGCGUAGAUAUCAUUUGGAACGCCAAUGGUGAAAACAGGUAGCUGGGGGUGUGCUGACACUGAGACACGAAAGCCAGGGGAGCAAACGGG